AUUGAACGCUGGCGGCAGGCCUAACACAUGCAAGUCGAACGAGUGGCGGACGGGUGAGGAAUGUCUGGGAAACUGCCCGAUGGAGGGGGAUAACAAAUGGAAACGGUAGCUAAGACCGCAUCCCAUCGGAUGUGCCCAGAUGGGCUUAGCUAGUAGGUGGGGUAACGGCUCACCCAGGAGACGAUCCCUAGCUGGUCUGAGAGGAUGACCAGCCACACUGGAACUGAGACACGGUCCAGACUCCUACGGGAGGCAGCAUUGGGGAAUAUUGCACAAUGGGCGCAAGCCUGAUGCAGCCAUGCCGCGUGUAUGAAGAAGGCCUUCGGGUUGUAAAGUACUUUCAGCGAGGAGGCGUUACUCGCAGAAGAAGCACCGGCUAACUCCGUGCCAGCAGCCGCGGUAAUUC
rnacentral:rRNA from 1 species